rnacentral:rRNA from 1 species
CGUGAGUGAUGAAGGCUUUCGAGUCGUAAAGCUCUGUUAGGUGGAAAGAAACAUUCCAGUGCCAAUACCACUGGAACUUGACGGUACCACCAGAGGAAGCACCGGCUAACUCCGUGCCAGCAGCCGCGGUAAUACGGAGGGUGCAAGCGUUGUUCGGAAUUACUGGGCGUAAAGGGCGUGUAGGCGGUUAAGCAAGUCAGGUGUGAAAUCCCUUGGCUCAACCAAGGAAGUGCGCUUGAAACUGUUUGACUAGAGUACAGGAGGGGAAAGUGGAAUUCCCAGUGUAGAGGUGAAAUUCAUAGAUAUUGGGAGGAACACCGGUAGCGAAGGCGGCUUUCUGGCCUGAUACUGACGCUGAGACGCGAAAGCGUGGGGAGCAAACAGGAUUAGAUACCCUGGUAGUCCACGCCGUAAACGAUGUGCACUAGGUGUAGGAAGUGUUGACCCUUUCUGUGCCGAAGCUAACGCAUUAA